rnacentral:rRNA from 1 species
UACGGAGGGUGCAAGCGUUGUCCGGAUUUAUUGGGUUUAAAGGGUGCGUAGGCGGCUGAUUAAGUCUGGGGUGAAAGCCCGUUGCUCAACAACGGAACUGCCCUGGAAACUGGUUAGCUUGAGUACAGACGAGGGUGGCGGAAUGGAUACUGUAGCGGUGAAAUGCAUAGAUAGUAUCCAGAACCCCGAUUGCGAAGCAGCUGCCUAGACUGUAACUGACGUGAGGCACGAAAAGCGUGGGGGAGCGAACAGG